GACGAACGCUGGCGGCGUGCUUAACACAUGCAAGUCGAACGGUAAGGCCCUUCGGGGUACACGAGUGGCGAACGGGUGAGUAACACGUGGGUGAUCUGCCCUGCACUUCGGGAUAAGCCUGGGAAACUGGGUCUAAUACCGGAUAGGACUCCGGACUGCAUGGUCUGGGGUGGAAAGCUUUUGCGGUGUGGGAUGGGCCCGCGGCCUAUCAGCUUGUUGGUGGGGUGAUGGCCUACCAAGGCGACGACGGGUAGCCGGCCUGAGAGGGUGACCGGCCACACUGGGACUGAGAUACGGCCCAGACUCCUACGGGAGGCAGCAGUGGGGAAUAUUGCACAAUGGGCGCAAGCCUGAUGCAGCGACGCCGCGUGAGGGAUGACGGCCUUCGGGUUGUAAACCUCUUUCAGCAUCGACGAAGCGAAAGUGACGGUACCUGCAGAAAAAGCACCGGCUAACUACGUGCCAGCCGCCGCGGUAA
rnacentral:rRNA from 1 species